rnacentral:rRNA from 1 species
GGCGGUCNGGAAAGUCUGGAGUAAAAGGCUAUGGCUCAACCAUAGUGUGCUCUGGAAACUGUNUGACUUGAGUGCAGAAGGGGAGAGUGGAAUUCCAUGUGUAGCGGUGAAAUGCGUAGAUAUAUGGCGGAACACCAGUGGCGAAAGCGGCUCUCUGGUCUGUCACUGACGCUGAGGCUCGAAAGCGUGGGUAGCGAACAGGAUUAGAUACCCUGGUAGUCCACGCCGUAAACGAUGAGUGCUAGGUGUUAGGCCCUUUCCGGGGCUUAGUGCCGGAGCUAACGCAAUAAGCACUCCGCCUGGGGAGUACGACCGCAAGGUUGAAACUCAAAGGAAUUGACGGGGGCCCGCACAAGCGGUGGAGCAUGUGGUUUAAUUCGAAGCAACGCGAAGAACCUUACCAGGUCUUGACAUCCCGAUGCUAUUCUUAGAGAUAGGAAGUUACUUCGGUACAUCGGAGACAGGUGGUGCAUGGUUGUCGUCAGCUCGUGUCGUGGGAUGUUGGGUUAAGUCCCGCAACGAGCGCAACCCUUAUUGUUAGUUGCCAUCAUUAAGUUGGGCACUCUAGCGAGACUGCCGGUAAUAAACCGGAGGAAGGUGGGGAUGACGUCAAAUCAUCAUGCCCCUUAUGACCUGGGCUACACACGUGCUACAAUGGUCGGUACAACGAGUUGCGAGCCGGUGACGGCAAGCUAAUCUCUGAAAGCCGAUCUCAGUUCGGAUUGGAGGCUGCAACUCGCCUCCAUGAAGUCGGAAUCGCUAGUAAUCGCGGAUCAGCACGCCGCGGUGAAUACGUUCCCGGGCCUUGUACACACCGCCCGUCACACCACGAGAGUUUGUAACACCCGAAGUCGGUGAGGUAACCUUCUA